UAUAUUCCACCACCGGGCCAACCACGCUGGCCCGCACGGGGCUCUAGAAAACCCACAUAUAUUCCACCACCGGGCCAACCACGCUGGCCUGCACGGGGCUCUAGAAAAAUCACAUAUAUUCCACCUUCAAAUAUGCCAUUCUUUGACCUAGAAUGAGCUCUGCUCUCCUCCUGCAGAGCUCAGCUCCAACAUCAUGUCCUUAGAGGAGCCCUCCCUGAACUCCAGGCCUGGGCAGGAUCCUCUCAGAGUAACAGUGGGCUGAUCUCUGUGACUACUUGAUCAAUGUCUGUCCCCCAGCCUAGACUGUCCCAGAAGAACAGGAAUACAGAAGAGGAGAAAAACAAGUAUCAAACCCAUCUAUAGCUAUCAUCCAGGUGCUACAGAAUAAGUCCAGAAAGGAAGACUAUUUUGGUUCCCCAGUUUUUCCUUGAUUUUUAUAAAUUGGCAAAAUCUAUUAUCAGCUUCAUCCCCCAAAGCUCAGCAGCUUGUAAGUCAAUUCAAUGAGUAAAUUACUGUCUGACUAAACUAUACUUUUAAAUUUAAUUUAGCAAAUGUAAUAAUUUUAUGAACAAACCAAAGGCUAUAUAUAUUGUUUAUUUUGAGAGUAAAUUAGAUCUAAAAGGAAUACCAAAAUAGUAAUAGAAUAUAUUUCCAUUUUUCCUCACAUUUAUUACUCUUGCUACCCAAAAAAAUUGUAAAGCUUUUAUCAUGGCUUUAACAUUUUCUAACAUUUACAUCUCUAAGUAUGCAAUAUUGUUCAUAUCAAUGUGUCACUACUGACAGCCUAGUAGCAAGCACUUAUUUAAAAAAGAGAAAUAAUAUGGUAUAUUUCCCAUACAAAUACAGAUUCCAAUUGAGAAAGAAGCUUUUGUGAGAAUAUGUCAAAUUUUAACCCCACCACUUGUAGCUGUGUGAUGCUGAAGAAAGCUACCACUUAACUUCUUUGCACCUCAGUUAAUGGAUCUGUACACAAAGAACACUACCACUAUCAUUUCAGAGCUGUUAUAGAACUGGAGACAAUAUAUUCAAGUUCUUGGUAUAUAACAGGCUUUUUUUUUUUUUUUUUUUUAAAAAAAAAAAGGAUAGAUUUUAUCAUCAUUAUUAUAUGGAGGUAUAAUUCCAGAAUAAUCAAUGAGGCAUGGAAACCCUCUAUUGCUCCAUCAAUGUGCAGAAGACAGACAUUGCUAAUCAAUCCUAGCAUUAUUUUCCCUAAGUCCAGUAAGCCUCAGAAUCCUUUGUCCUGCAGAGUUGCGGGCAGUUGUGUCAACUGUCAGAAUUUGCAUAAGCAAAAAGCAAUUUGCCAUCUCCAGUAAAAUGUAAAGAGCAUAAAAGUAUGUCAUCAGGUACACCUGGGUUCACAUCUCUCUCCUACUUCUGACUAGCCAUGAAACGUUAGGUAAAUUACUGAAGUGCUCUAAGCUUCAACUUCCCUACCUCUCAAGUAAAAAUAAUAAUACCUCCCUCAAUCAUUCAAAAGAUGUUUAGCGUGAUUUGCAAGGACAAACAAUUCCAAAUACGUAUCAGAGCGCUACCUAAAGACAGAGAAGUUACUAAUUUCCCCAGCAAUCCCUAUGGUUGCUACCAUGCCUCUUUCCAACUAUUUUAUCAAUAUUUUAAAUAAACAACUUAAAACUUUUAUUAAAGAAAAUGCCAAUUAAGAUAUGAAAAUUACCAACUGACUUACCUAUCUUGGGACAAAGGGUGCUUGUCCUGCUGAUACACAGGCUACUUGCCCCUGUUUUUAAAAUACUUUUCAGAGAUAUGACCCUAUUAGAUAUCUAAUUUGCCAGAGCUGUAACUAUGAGAAUGCAUAUAUUGACUCUUACUGUAAUGUGGUUGAUUAAAGAAAAACAAGUUAACAUGACUAAUAUAUGGUCAAAUCUUAUAUUCUUAAAAAAAAAAAAAAAAAAAAAAAUAGGG